GAUGAACGCUGGCGGCGUGCUUAACACAUGCAAGUCGAGCGAAGCGCUUACGACAGAACCUUCGGGGGAAGAUGUAAGGGACUGAGCGGCGGACGGGUGAGUAACGCGUGGGUAACCUGCCUCAUACAGGGGGAUAACAGUUGGAAACGGCUGCUAAUACCGCAUAAGCGCACAGUAUCGCAUGAUACAGUGUGAAAAACUCCGGUGGUAUGAGAUGGACCCGCGUCUGAUUAGCUAGUUGGAGGGGUAACGGCCCACCAAGGCGACGAUCAGUAGCCGGCCUGAGAGGGUGAACGGCCACAUUGGGACUGAGACACGGCCCAGACUCCUACGGGAGGCAGCAGUGGGGAAUAUUGCACAAUGGGGGAAACCCUGAUGCAGCGACGCCGCGUGAAGGAAGAAGUAUCUCGGUAUGUAAACUUCUAUCAGCAGGGAAGAAAAUGACGGUACCUG
rnacentral:rRNA from 1 species